CCUACGGGUGGCAGCAGUGAGGAAUAUUGGUCAAUGGACGAGAGUCUGAACCAGCAAAGUAGCGUGAAGGAUGACUGCCCUAUGGGUUGUAAACUUCUUUUAUAUGGGAAUAAAAUGUUCCACGUGUGGGAUUUUGUAUGUCCCAUAUGAAUAAGGAUCGGCUAACUCCGUGCCAGCAGCCGCGGUAAUACGGAGGAUCCGAGCGUUAUCCGGAUUUAUUGGGUUUAAAGGGAGCGUAGGUGGAUUGUUAAGUCAGUUGUGAAAGUUUGCGGCUCAACCGUAAAAUUGCAGUUGAAACUGGCAGUCUUGAGUACAGUAGAGGUGAGCGGAAUUCGUGGUGUAGCGGUGAAAUGCUUAGAUAUCACGAAGAACUCCGAUUGCGAAGGCAGCUCACUGGACUGCAACUGACACUGAGGCUCGAAAGUGUGGGGAUCAAACAGGAUUAGAUACCCUAGUAGUC
rnacentral:rRNA from 1 species